CUUGCAUGAGGGUGUAUUUAAGCACUGCACUUAUAAUUCAUUAAUAUGUUUCUAUUUUUCUAAAUGUUUUUGGGUUUUAUCACCUAAACAUUUGAAUUUUUUCGCUUUGGUUUCUAAUCUGUGGGUCUGCAGGAGUACCUACUAAGUGUUACACCUGCUAUCAAACACUGUUCUGUUCUAGUUUUUAUUUUAGAAGCACCUAAUAUUUUCACACCCUUUCUUUUUUUUUUUUUUUUUUUUUAAAUAUAUUUUAGGAUGGAAAUAGUUAAGGACGGAUCAUUGAGAAAAGCUGGAUUUUAGAUCAGUUUUAGUUAAGAUAAUGGUUGUUUUAGGUAGUUAACAGUUCAUUGGUUUUAAAUCAUUAUUAUGAAAUAAUUUAUACAUAAUAAAUAUGUAUUCAUACUACUGGUAAUUGUCAUCCCAUUGACUUCCUCAGAUCCAUACUUUAAUACCUAUAUUUGAGAUUGACUAUUGUAGAGAUUUUGGUGCAUAGGUACAACCCUUUUUCUUUCACAUUGUAAAACAUUGCUGUUUUUGUCAUCAGACACAGCAAAAUGAUGCCGAAGAAGUAAAUUACAUCUAAUAAACACUGUAUUCAACACUUCUCUAUUGGAAGAUAGGUUUGAAUAAUUUUUGGCACUUGGAGUUGAUAUUGUUAAAAAGUCAUGCUGUAAGAAUUGGAGUUAAAUAAAUCUGAAAAUAUCUUUACAGCCUUGCACUAAAUAUUUAUCGUACUAUUUGAAUGCAGCAAUGAGCAUGUACUCAGCAAUGAGUAAACAGCCAUUAGCUAAAAUGCAAUUGAUUCUCUACAUUAAAUAUAUAUAUGUGU